UCAAGCUACGAAGGGCGCAUGGUGGAUGCCUUGGCACCAGCCGGCGAAGAAGGACGUGGCUAGCUGCGAAAAGCCUCGGGGAGCCGCUAGCAGGCUGUGAUCCGGGGAUGUCCGAAUGGGGAAACCCGGCAGGGGCGAACCCCUGUCAUCCCAUGCUGAAUCCAUAGGCAUGGGAGGCGAACGCGGGGAAGUGAAACAUCUCAGUACCCGCAGGAGAAGAAAUCAAUCGAGAUUCCCUCAGUAGCGGCGAGCGAACGGGGAGGAGCCCAAACCGUCUUUGCGUGAUAGCCCGCAGGCGUUGCAGGGACGGGGUUGUGGGGGAGCACCGGAGGGCGCUGCGGAGCCUUCGGGGAGUGAGAAAUGCCAUGGGUAGCCGAAGCGUCUGGGAAGGCGCGCCACAGAGGGUGAGAGCCCCGUAGGCGAAACCGAUGGCACUUCCUGGGUGCUCAACCCGAGUACCACGGGGCACGUGGAACCCCGUGGGAAUCUGGGAGGACCAUCUUCCAAGGCUAAAUACGAGCUGGUGACCGAUAGUGAACGAGUACCGUGAGGGAAAGGUGAAAAGGACCCCGUAGAGGGGAGUGAAAAGGACCUGAAACCAUGUGCCUACAGCCUGUGGGAGCCCUAUGGUCCCUGAGGGGACAAGGGGUGACCGCGUGCCUUUUGCAUAAUGAGUCAGCGAGUUACGCUUGGCAGCGAGGUUAAGCCGGGAGAGGCGGAGCCGUAGGGAAACCGAGUCUGAAUAGGGCGAAGGAGUUGCCAGGUGUAGACCCGAAACCGGGUGAUCUAUCCAUGUCCAGGGUAAAGCUGGGGUAAGACCCAGUGGAGGCCCGAACCCUAGGGGGUUGAAAACCCCAGGGAUGAGGUGUGGAUAGGGGUGAAAGGCCAAUCAAACCCGGUGAUAGCUGGUUCUCCCCGAAAUAUAUUGAGGUAUAGCCUCGCACGGUAGCCGCCGGGGGUAGAGCACUGGAUGGGCUAGGGCCCCCACCAGGGUACCAAACCUAACCAAACUCCGAAUACCGGCGGUGGAACUGCGGGAGUCAGACUGCGGGGGAUAAGCUCCGUGGUCGAGAGGGAAAGAGCCCAGACCGCCAGCUAAGGUCCCGAAAUCCGUGCUAAGUGGGAAAGGAUGUGGGGCUGCCCAGACAGCCAGGAGGUUGGCUUAGAAGCAGCCAUCCUUUAAAGAAAGCGUAAUAGCUCACUGGUCGAGUGGCCCUGCGCCGAAGAUGUAACGGGGCUCAAGCACGGUACCGAAGCUGCGGAUCUAGAGACUAGAUACUAGAGACUAGAAACUAGAGGACGAGGGGAUGCCGUACCAUCGUUUGGAUGUGUACCAGAAGGCGUAUCGGCUUGCGCUGGAGAUCCACGAGAUGACCCUUGGGUUUCCGAAGCACGAGCAGUACGAACUGGCGAGCCAGCUUCGGCGGUCCAGCAAGUCCAUCUGCGCGAACAUCGCGGAAGGGAUGGGCAAGCAGGAGAGCCGGGCGGACGUACGGCGGUUCAUGCGGAUCGCCGUGGGGUCGUGCGACGAGAGUCGGGUAUGGCUCGAGUUUGCACGGGACCUGGGGUACAUCAAGCCCCGGGAGCAGGCGGCGCUCGAUGAACGCUAUCGGGAGAUCGGCCGUAUGCUCCGAGGGGUUUUGAAGCGAUACGCGAACAGGGACGACCAAGCGAAGCGGCGAGGAAAGGAUUUUUCUAGUAUCUAGUUUCCAGUAUCUAGUCUCUAGAUGGUAGGGGAGCGUUCCUUGUGGGGUGAAGCCGUACCGGAAGGAGCGGUGGACUGCAGGGAAGUGCGAAUGCUGACAUAAGUAGCGAUAAAGCGGGUGAGAAUCCCGCUCGCCGAAAGCCUAAGGUUUCCUGGGGAAGGCUCGUCCGCCCAGGGUUAGUCGAUACCCUAAGCCGAGGCCGAAGGGCGUAGGUGAUGGGAAGCCGGUUAAUAUUCCGGCACCACCGGGGUCGCGUUUGGACCGAAGGGGGGACGCAGGAGGGUAGGUCAGCCAGGCGGUGGUAGACCUGGUUUAAGCGUGUAGGCGGGAGGGGUAGGCAAAACCGCCCCUCUGGUAACGCUGAGGCGUGAUGACGAGGCUCAAAUGGGAGCCGAAGUGACUGAUCCCACACUGCCAAGAAAAGCCCCUAGGGAGUGACCCAGGUGAUCGUACCGCAAACCGACACAGGUAGGCGAGGAGAGAAUCCUAAGGCGCGUGAGAGAACCCUGGCUAAGGAACUCGGCAAAUUGGCACCGUAACUUUGGGAGAAGGUGCACCCCGGUAGGGUGAAGGUGCUUGCCACCGGAGCUCGAGGGGGUCGCAGAGACCAGGCGGUAGCGACUGUUUACCAAAAACAUAGGACUCUGCUAAGCCGCAAGGCGACGUAUAGGGUCUGACGCCUGCCCGGUGCCGGAAGGUUAAGGGGAGGGGUUAGCUUCUUUGGAGGCGAAGCUCUGAACCGAAGCCCCGGUAAACGGCGGCCGUAACUAUAACGGUCCUAAGGUAGCGAAAUUCCUUGUCGGGUAAGUUCCGACCUGCACGAAUGGCGUAACGACUUCCGCACUGUCUCGGCCAGGGACUCAGCGAAAUUGUAGUACGGGUGAAAAUACCCGUGACCCGCAGCAGGACGGAAAGACCCCGUGAACCUUUACUACAGCUUGGCAAUGGACUUCGGGUCAGCAUGUGUAGGAUAGGUGGGAGGCUGGGAAGCCGGGACGCCAGUUUCGGUGGAGCCGUCCUUGAAAUACCACCCUUGUUGAUCUGGGGUUCUAACCUAGGCCCGUGAAGCCGGGUCGGGGACAUUGCCUGGCGGGUAGUUUGACUGGGGCGGUCGCCUCCUAAAAGGUAACGGAGGCGCGCGAAGGUUCCCUCAGACGGAUUGGAAACCCGUCGCAGAGUGCAAAGGCAUAAGGGAGCUUGACUGCGAGACCGACAGGUCGAGCAGGUGGGAAACCAGGCCUUAGUGAUCCGGUGGUUCCGUAUGGAAGGGCCAUCGCUCAACGGAUAAAAGGUACUCCGGGGAUAACAGGCUGAUACCGCCCAAGAGUUCACAUCGACGGCGGUGUUUGGCACCUCGAUGUCGGCUCGUCACAUCCUGGGGCUGGAGCAGGUCCCAAGGGUUCGGCUGUUCGCCGAUUAAAGUGGUACGCGAGCUGGGUUCAGAACGUCGUGAGACAGUUCGGUCCCUAUCCGCUGUGGGUGUAGGAGAUCUGAGAGGGUCUUCCCCUAGUACGAGAGGACCGGGGUGGACGGACCUCUGGUGUACCGGUUGUUCUGCCAAGGGCACCGCCGGGUAGCCAUGUCCGGAACGGAUAACCGCUGAAAGCAUCUAAGCGGGAAGCCGGCCUCGAGACGAGAUCUCCCUGGGACUACGGUCCCCUGAAGGCCCGUUGGAGACGACGACGUAGAUAGGCCGGGGGUGUAAGCGCAGCGAUGCGUUGAGCUGACCGGUACUAAAGGGCCGUGUGGCUUGACCGC
rnacentral:rRNA from 1 species